GCGUGGGUGAAGAAGGCCCUAGGGUUGUAAAUCCCUUUCAGCGGGGAAGAUAAUGACGGUACCCGCAGAAGAAGCCCCGGCUAACUCCGUGCCAGCAGCCGCGGUAAUACGGAGGGGGCUAGCGUUGUUCGGAAUUACUGGGCGUAAAGCGCACGUAGGCGGACUAUUAAGUCAGUGGUGAAAUCCCGAGGCUCAACCUCGGAAUUGCCUUUGAUACUGGUAGUCUUGAGUCCGGGAGAGGUGAGUGGAAUUCCGAGUGUAGAGGUGAAAUUCGU
rnacentral:rRNA from 1 species